GGAGAGAACAAGUGGCCCAGAGGGCUUCGGAACACUUGGACUGGAUCAGGACUGUUAAAUCGGAGCAGAUGGCCACGUUAGCCCUGCAAAAGAGCAGCAACUCUCUGUAUUCAUCACUGGCCACCCAUCCAGUCUCUGCCUUCCAAUUUUCUCUGCAAGCCUUUGACAGCUGCUCCCAGGGAAAUUGCACUCGUGUGGUGAGCCGGGGUUAGAGAAACGUAUCCCUCACCUCCUUUUCAUUAGCAAUAAGCACGCACUCCCUUUGUCUUCUAAAGCAAUUUCAUAGCCGGUGCACAAACACGGAGCCAUCAAAGGAGCCUUUCGCUGGGCUGGCACGAGAGACAAUGGGAAGCAGAUACACCUUCAUCAACAAAGCAGCGCAUUUCCAUUUUGAUAACAAAUGUCUCUGGCUCCCUGUUGAACACCUGCAUCUUGUUUUCCCUCUGUUUUCUCUCUCCUUCCCCGAGCCAGCGAGAGGAGUCCGCCAAGCAGAAUGGUGUGUACAAUAGCAUUUCCCCCUUCCCUCCCAUUGCCAGUUGUCGUGCUGACAGAUCUGAUAGGCCUGCGUGCCACGCUUUGCCUUUCGUUCUGAACAGCAGAGAGAGAGAGAGAAAUGCAGGCCUUAUUUUCCUCCCUUCAGCGUUAUCAUCCUUUUUCAUGUUCUCAUUACAAUGCCACCAUGGCGAUAGAAAAAGAGAGAUUCAGGAGCUGCCAAAAGAGCCACCAGCUAUUUUUCUGCUCCCAACAAACUGAUGCAUGGCAAACUCUGCAUGGGUAUUUACAGGGGCGCUGACUCGUCGGAGUAGGCGAACAUGGCCCUGCCCACACAAAGACAAGCAGAGCACUAUCAUAAUUAGAUGACUCCACCCAUUUCCUAAUUAUUUACCUGUUUUACCUCCUCCCUAAAGUAAUUAUCUUGAGCAACUGUGCAGCAGAUCCCAGGGCAUGUGGCAGAGGAUGAAAACCCUGGUUCCUUUUGCUUUUGCAAGGCUGAAAAGCAAGGCACUGAGCUUCCGUCCAUCUCCCCAUCUGGGCUGAUACUGUCCUGUGUUUCAGGUGUUUUCCAUGCCGCUUGAGCAAGACCAGCAUCUUGUGACUUGCCUGCAUUGAGGACAAGUUGUUAGGCGUUGUGUUACAGAGGGAAAUUAUCAUAGACAGCCCUCCUGGCUCAGCUGCUGCCUCUCAAGCCUUGCGGUAUUCAUGUCCCCAAAGCUGAUUUCAGCCACUGGGGGUCCUGGGAAAGGCAGGCGAGUAAAUGAAGAGCUCCAGCGCUUUGUCCUCAGGGACAUUCUGUGAUGGAGCACUAGCUGAGCACAGGAAGGCUGAGUUUGCUCCCUCCAGGCUCUGCUAGGAGAGCAUACUGAAACGUAGUUGGAAAGAUGUGAUGCACUAUACAGGUUCCUCCCUUUACUGAUGUCAAGUGGCAAUUCAGAGAAGGCCUCCAGUGCCAGGAGCUGUCCCGAAUGCUGCUUAGUCCAUUUUGUCUCAUCUACCAACAUUUCCUGGUCUGGCAAAAUUUCCAGCCUCAGAUGAAGAGCAGUUUCCUUAUCAGAUUCACCCUGAGAGGGUGAACAGAUGACUUCUUUGAUUGCAGUACCUCUCUCAGUGACAUGACACAGUGCAGGGAUUGAGAGAGAAGCAGGGGUGAAAGGGAAAGCUGAUUUGGAAGAAAGAGAAAGAAGGAUGGGUGAAAGACGACCUAAGGAGAGGGAGAUCGGAGUGUAAAGAAGGUAAGGAAACACACAGGAGAUCUUUCUAAAGGUAGGAGGGAAUGAAAGACUGGGGAAGUGAUGAAAACAGAGAGGGAAAGAAGCAUUGCAUAUGAUGGAUUGUUCACCAGGAAUCCAAGAUCAAAAUGCCAACUAAAUUAGGGUAUUACAGGUCACUGAACAGAAAUUGCACAAUGGCUGAGUCUCUAACAAAGGUUAAAACAUGGAACAAAGGCAAAUAAUGAUACAAUCCAGAGUCAGUGACCAUAAACUCCAAACAAAAAGGAGGGCGUUGCAGAGAUGAUGGCAAAGCAGAAGAAAUCAUUGCUUGCAAUCGGUGUUCAGUGGGUCAGAUUGAAAAGAAAAUGUGCUUUUCAGACCUAACAUCCUGGAUGCAAACACAGAUGCAGGUUUGGCAAUGUCUUUCAAUAAAAUUAAUGCACUUAGAACACUCAGUAGGAAUGAGAAGCCGACAUCAGCUUAGGGACAGGCAGAGACAUGCCUAAAAGGUACAGUAUUGCAUAUAAACAUCAGAAUGAAGGAAGGAAACCUUGGUUUCUCUGAGCUGCUGAACACAGCUGCCUGGGAAUUUUUCAGUGAAAUCUUUGGUUGAAAACUAUCAAUUUAGCAAAAUUGAAGCUCUUUGCAUUGAAAAGGGCCGUUUUGCUAAACUUCUGGUUUUGAAAACAUUUACAGAAAAGAA